rnacentral:rRNA from 1 species
AUGCCCCCCGACGCCGACGCCGGGGAGCCGGCGGCCGCGGCGGCGGGGCCCGGAGGAGGGGCGGCGCGCGGGGUGAUCCGCUGGGACGAGAUCCUGCCGCGCCGCUCGCUCCGGGUGCUCCUCGUCGAGCACGACGACUCCACCCGCCAGGUCGUCACCGCGCUCCUCCGCAAGUGCGGGUACCGCGUGAUGUCAUCCCAAGAUUCCAUUGGCACAGUGCUAAAGUGCAUGCAGAAUGGGGCAGUGGACUUCCUCGUGAAGCCAGUUAGGAAGAAUGAGUUGCGUAACUUAUGGCAACAUGUGUGGAGGCGGCACUCGAUGAACAGCCAAUUAAAUGCAUCAGAAAACAAUGCAGCCAGCAACCAUAUAAGUGUGAAUUCUGGUACCGGGUCAAAGACAGGAGAAAACAGCGAUGAGAAAAGUGAUGCUCAGAGCUCUGGAAGCAAAAGGGAGACUGACAUUCAGAGUGUUGAGAAAUUACCGGAGAUUGUGGCACAUAAUGGAGCAAGCUCAUGCAGAGAACUAAAAAUACAGAAUGGGCCUUUUGAUAGAAUGAACACAAAGGCACUUGCAUUAAAGGGCACUGAUGAUGCUCCAAGUGGAAAUGCAUGUGGCACCAGUAAGCAGCAAGUGUUUUCAGCUGAGAAGAAUGUGUGUUCCAAGUAUCUUCAUGGCAUUACUUCUGCAAAGGUUGCUGGACAGAUAAUGGACAACGCCAUGAGGAUUGCUGAUGCAAGUUCAUGUCGUCCAAGUGAUCCUGGCAAAGAUCUUAUGGCUACUGGCCAACCAACAACUAGCAAAAAAUGCAAAUCUCCAGUCACAAAGAAUAACGCUGUCAAGCCUGUCAUGGAAAAUACCCUUCAUGAAAAUUCAAAGGGUGCUGCGAUCGGCCAUCCCCAGCCUUGCCCCUCUCACUUGCUGGAUGUCAACUUAGGAAAGCAACAGCGUUCUGAUGGUCAUGUGAACCAAGAACUGAGGGAUAAGGAUAAUUUUAAUCACUCAAAUUCUUCAGCCUUUUCAAGGUAUGGUAAUAAAAGAAUAGAGCCAUCAGCUAAGCAACUGUCUCUUCCCUCCGUCCACUUAACUUAUCAAGAAUCUGUUUAUGACAAGAAUGUUCAAUCUAGUGGGGCUUUGCCCUCGCAUGAACACCAUACAUGCAAGAUUACAAUGCAAGCUCAGGCUCCUUUGGACAGUUGCACAGUGGGUCCUGCCAUCCCGUCUUCAAGCAGUGCAAGAGAAGAUGCUGGCACAAUCAGUUCCUCCCCUAGAAAGGACAAUUUCGGUCAUCCUCCUUAUGGCUUUAUACCUGUUCCAAUUUCUGUCGCUGCUGCUAUACCGUACCAGUACAGUGCAAUUAUGCCUCCGAUAUACUACACACAGCCUCCUUUUAUGCAAUGCGAUCCAUCUGGCAUCAACCAGAUGGGAAUUCAGCAUGCAUAUCAUUCUAGUUACCAUCAAAAUCUUGGUAAACCAUCAGAGAUUGAUGAACACAGACAGCUAGAAGAAAACCAGCGGUUGCAUCAUUCAAAACAAAUUCUCCAAGAAUCAGGAGAACCUAUUGACUUGUUGAGAGCUCAUGCAGAGCGCAAUAACCAGAGUGCUAGUUGUAGCCAGGAUAUCCGUGGAUGGACUGUGAGCGGUGAAACUGAUACAAACACCAACGCAAUAAUUGCCCCAGAAAGCGGCAACGAGAGUGGCAUCCAGAACUUCGGUUACAAUGGACUGGAUAGUGAUCGGUCUCGUCGUGAAGCUGCCUUGAUGAAAUUCCGCAUGAAAAGGAAAGAUAGAUGCUUCGAGAAGAAGGUCAGAUAUCACAGCAGGAAGAAGCUUGCAGAGCAAAGACCAAGAAUCAAGGGGCAGUUUGUUAGCCAAAAACUCAAGUCAGCUACAACAACGGAAGAUGCAGAAACAGAUUAG